CAGUUAAAUUCAAAAGACAAGGCUAUGCAUGUAGAGCUAAAGGCAGAGGACUUGCGGACGCGGGUUCGAUUCCCGCCGCCUCCACCA
rnacentral:tmRNA from 1 species